CCGAAUCAAUAGCCAACCGGCGUAAAGAGUGGUCAUAUGUUAUCCUCACCACCUAAGAUCGAAGUACAACUAAGCUGUCAUAAGCCCAAGAUCUACCUAAGCUCCCCAAAACAUCUUAGCUCCACGACUAAUUUUACCCCACGAAAGCCAGGACACAAACUGGGAUUAGAUACCCCACUAUGCCUGGCCCUAAAUCUAGAUGCCUACAUACCCAUGCAUCCGCCCGAGAACUACGAGCACAAACGCUUAAAACUCUAAGGACUUGGCGGUGCCCCAAACCCACCUAGAGGAGCCUGUUCUAUAAUCGAUAAUCCACGAUCCACCCAACCACCCCUUGCCAACACAGCCUACAUACCGCCGUCGCCAGCCCACCUAAAUGAAAGGCCAACAGUGAGCUCAACAGUCCACCACUAGCAAGACAGGUCAAGGUAUAGCCCAUGGGGUGGAAGAAAUGGGCUACAUUUUCUAAUAUAGAAUAAACGAAAAAGGACGUGAAACCCGUCCUUGGAAGGAGGAUUUAGCAGUAAAGUAGGACCAUGCCUCUUCAAGCCUACUUUAAGACGGCCCUGGGGCACGUACAUACCGCCCGUCACCCUCUUCGCAGGCCACCAAUACUAAUAAAUAAUACCCACAUCAAGCCAA
rnacentral:rRNA from 1 species